rnacentral:misc_RNA from 1 species
AAGUCGUAACAAGGUCUCCGUAGGUGAACCUGCGGAAGGAUCAUUAAAGAAUAUCGAGCUUCGCAGCUCUUAUUCUCACCCCUUUUGUAUAUCAAACUUUUGUUGCUUUGGCAAGCGCCCUUCCGGGGCCUGCCCCGAGGACCGAAACCCUAGAAUCUCCUGCCGUCUGAGUACUAUAUAAUAGUUAAAAC